GGGCUGCGGCGGCUUACCAUGCAAGUCGAGCGGGGGAAGGUAGCUUGCUACUGGACCUAGCGGCGGACGGGUGAGUAAUGCUUAGGAAUCUGCCUAUUAGUGGGGGACAACAUUCCGAAAGGAAUGCUAAUACCGCAUACGUCCUACGGGAGAAAGCAGGGGACCUUCGGGCCUUGCGCUAAUAGAUGAGCCUAAGUCGGAUUAGCUAGUUGGUGGGGUAAAGGCCUACCAAGGCGACGAUCUGUAGCGGGUCUGAGAGGAUGAUCCGCCACACUGGGACUGAGACACGGCCCAGACUCCUACGGGAGGCAGCAGUGGGGAAUAUUGGACAAUGGGGGGAACCCUGAUCCAGCCAUGCCGCGUGUGUGAAGAAGGCCUUAUGGUUGUAAAGCACUUUAAGCGAGGAGGAGGCUACUAGUAUUAAUACUACUGGAUAGUGGACGUUACUCGCAGAAUAAGCACCGGCUAACUCUGUGCCAGCAGCCGCGGUAAUACAGAGGGUGCGAGCGUUAAUCGGAUUUACUGGGCGUAAAGCGUGCGUAGGCGGCCAUUUAAGUCAAAUGUGAAAUCCCCGAGCUUAACUUGGGAAUUGCAUUCGAUACUGGAUGGCUAGAGUAUGGGAGAGGAUGGUAGAAUUCCAGGUGUAGCGGUGAAAUGCGUAGAGAUCUGGAGGAAUACCGAUGGCGAAGGCAGCCAUCUGGCCUAAUACUGACGCUGAGGUACGAAAGCAUGGGGAGCAAACAGGAUUAGAUACCCUGGUAGUCCAUGCCGUAAACGAUGUCUACUAGCCGUUGGGGCCUUUGAGGCUUUAGUGGCGCAGCUAACGCGAUAAGUAGACCGCCUGGGGAGUACGGUCGCAAGACUAAAACUCAAAUGAAUUGACGGGGGCCCGCACAAGC
rnacentral:rRNA from 1 species